UUUGUUUUGUUGUGAAUAAUAAUUUUUUUAAUCAUUUUUUUAUAUUUAAUUUAAAAAAAUGUUUAAUGUUUGUAAAAAUAAUCAGAAGACAAUGGAUACGUAUUUUAUUUUUAUUGUUGUGUUUGGAUUUUUGUGUACAAUAGGUUCAGCACACUACUUUGUACAACCAAUACCAGGAACAGAAAAAAAUGCACAAGAAAUGCUUACUGAAACUGUAAUUGUACCAAAACCAAAUGCGAGUGACAAAGCAAGUAUUAAUAAAAAUUCCAAUGUGGCUAUUUCUACAGCGGUGCAAGCACCAUCAAUAUUCCCAAAAGAAAAUUCCUCAUUGUUUCAUUUUGUUAAGAAUGAAACAAUUCAAGAUGCACUUUUAUCACAUACCUCAAAUCACACGGUAGAAAAUGCAACAAGUAUAACUGCACCAAAAUCAUUUCCAACAGACUCAAAUAAGUAUAAAUUUUUAAAAAAUAAUACAAUAUUAGCUCAUUUAAUAAAUGCAACCGAACAUCAAAAUGUUACUCAAAAUGAAUCGACAACAAACUCGACUCCAUUAUAUAUACCACCAAAAGUAUUCCCAACGGAUACAACAAAAUAUAAAUUUAAAUCGAACCAAACAAUCUUAGAUACUUUUUUAUCAAAGAAUCCAAAUCAUGUGGAUACAGAAAUACCCGAUUUAUUAUCCAAGAAACAUUAUGAGGGUGAAUAUGAUGUGGAUCAAAUUGAUCCAAAUUUAACAACUACUGCUAAAACUGUUAUUAUUAAUUCGGUAGUAAACAAUACUCGUUUGUUUACUACUCAGUCUGAGACCGAUCAAGUUAUGGAAAAUGGUAGUAUUGUUGAUAAACAUUUUGGACAUGAUCAUUUAACAAACGGGAAGUCACAAGUGGCGCAUGGUCCAUUGGCUGGAAUAUUGAUUGGUGUGUUAUUACUUGUGGCUUUAGUUGGAUAUGCUUCGUUAGUUUUAUGGAGGAGAUCUUUGGAGAUUAAAUAUGGAACGCGGGAAAGACUAGUCAACGAAGAUGAUUUUGAUCCACAUUACGAUAAUCGAUUUGAGUUUUCCGUCUAUACACCAAAGAAUGAAAAUGAAUAUAAUUGAAAAUUGAGCAGAGAUUGUUCGUCAUUGGUUAUUCAUUGGCAUUUUUAUUCAUCAGAACGAGACAUCUGUCAGUUUGUAGGCUGCAACAAUUUCGUGAUGAAAAGAACUGAACUGCGUCAAAGAAAUUGCAGAAUCGAUUACAAAACAAAGACAUAUUUAUUUUAAAUUUGUGUUAAAUUAGGACUUCAACAACUCGAAAACAAACUUUUUUUAAACAAAUUAUUCGAAUAUUAGUGGAAUUGUUCGUAGUGAAAAUCAAUAAACAAGACUGUCUUUAUUUAAAAAUAUGGAAAUAUGAACUAAUAUUUCGUUAUAUUAUUAUAGGAAAGAUUCAAAGUUGUAUAUUUCAAGAAUACAAUUCGAAAGCUUCAUCAAAAAAUAUUAUGUAAUUUCAUUCUUUUAAUUACAAAUGAUUUUUUUAAAUUUUAUUGAAAUUUGUAUUUAUAAAGUUAAAACUUAUUACGAAAGAAAUUAUUUUCUUAAAUGUUACAUUCCAUAUAAAAUCCUGGACCAAUGCGAACUAGUAGAUCGCGAAAAUCGAAGUCUUCGAUCAAUCAAUCAACUUGCUUUAGAAAUUUUAUAUCCAAUCUAUAUUGAAAAUGAAAAUAUUCGACUUUUGGAAAGAACAAGAGGAGGCAACUCAAAGUUUGCAAAACACUUUUGUAGAAAAUAUGAACACAUAUUGUAGCAUAGAAGCACCAGGUAAUUCCGAAAAUAUAACAAUCAAUCAAACCGCUUUGAAUCAAAAUUACGGUUAAUAUUUAUAAAGUCGUAAAAAAAAUUUGUCUUUCAUUCUUAGCAUAUAUUAUUAAAUGACCGGGUUUACCUGAAAUAAUCGGUAGUGCUCAGUUAGUACCGGUACCUCAUAGAAAAAAUGGGUUACAACCAUUGAUUCCACGAACUACUAUAUAUAGUAUAGAAUGUUUUGUUAAAUUCUUCUUUGUUAAUCGAAUUGCCUGCUUCGACUUCUACUUUCUUGUGAUGACAAAAUGUUGCCAUUACAUACUUACAUUAAUUUAAAACAGUUUUUUAUCAAAAUAUAAAUUAAGCCCUUCUUCGUUCCAAGACGGAAAAAUUGUUUGUUUCUAUUCGAGAAAACGAUUUUGAAACUAUUUUCAACAGUCUCUGUCAUAUAGUGAUCAAAUAGGAGAUAGAGGAUAUUGGUUCCUCAAUUAAACUAUUAAUUAAGUCAGUAGGUACUUCACUAGGAGAGUAGAGUACUCAUUUCUUAGUAAAAGUAGACACUUACACUCAAUUGUAUUGGAUUUUUACUAGCAGUAAAAUAAUGCUUAAAUUUUUGUCUAUUGUUAUUAAAGAUAUUUUUAUUAUUUUACGUUUUAGAGCAAAGAAGGACUCUAAGCUCUAGUUAAUGUUGAUAUGAAAUGAAAAUGUUGAUUUCAGUCACAGAUAUUUAUAGUAAAUCUAGAACAUAAAACUUGAUACUCAUUAAAAUUUAUAAUAUUUAAACAUAAUGGCUUAGUCUAUCAAUAUUGUUUAACACUGAUUCAUAGAAAAUCUGUUAUAAAAUUAAUAACAGAUAUGUUCUAUCAAGAUUCAAUCUUCUUAGUAGUUUUUAGCUGUUUAAAAUCUAGAUAAAAUAAAUAACUGUGACUCUUCAUUAGAUAAAGGAAUUAUGUCUUUCCAUUGUUCUUACCGGACUUUGCCGACGCCUGUUAGUUUGAACAAAUUUUAAUUUUAAUGUUUUUAAUCUUGAAAUCCCGUGACUGCAUUUUCCCGAUAAAUUCAUUAUUUUUUAUAAAAGCAUAUUGAUUAUUCAUUUAAUGUUUGCUAAGGAGAGCAGUGGAAAUAAUUUGCGGCCAAAUGGCUGCUAAUUAGGCUAAACUAAAAAAUUUUAGAGUUAAUAAUAAUAACUUGUAAUAAUAUAAAUAUAUGAAACUAAAUUUUAAUGUGAUAAUAAGUAGUUUGAAAUGAUUUGACAUGAAAAAUAAUUUUUUAAUAAGGAACUUUGUGCAAACUGCAGCUAAUAUGGUAGCCCUAAAUAUUCGCUAUAAAAUAUAUUCUGUGUACUUUAUCGGCUAUAAUAAUAUGUAUAAACAUUGAAUUUUACUACGCACAUAAUUAAUCCCCGUAAUAUAUUUUUUUAUUUUUUAUCCGUGAUAACAAAUUAUACUUAUCAAAGUACACAAAACUAUUGAAUAUAGAUUAAAAUAUUCAUUUUCUGCAUACUUAUUUUCCGCACAUAUGUUACACUAACUCGUCCCCAAGCGCAGAGUUCGGAGAAGCUAUACCAUAGAUCUGCAAAGUCGCCACCCAAACGGUUGACAGAUAAUGUAGCCGGAGAGAUAGAUAAAGUAGGUCGUGUAGCUGUAUAGAGACAGAUAAAGUAGGCGCGUAUAACUUUUUUCGUCUACUUUAUACGUCUCAUGUACAAAAUUACUGCAAUUACUAAAAUUUCUGCCUCUUUCUACCUCUCUCACUGCGGCCAAAAAUUCACUUAUUGCGUUUCCUUUGUCUACACAACUCUAUGGUAUAUCUCUAUAGAAGUUCCCUAUUAAGUAUCUCUUUAUUACAUACUACCUUGCAUACUGUGUAAUAAAGAAAUACUAAUGUUAAAAAAACGUGAACUUAUAAUUUUGUUUUAGUAAACUAAAAAACAAAAAUAUUUUUGAGAGAAUAAAUA